rnacentral:rRNA from 1 species
GACGGGGGGUCCUAGCGUUGUUCGGAAUCAUUGGGCGUAAAGCGUGUGCAGGCGGUUUUGUAAGUCAGAUGUGAAAGCCCCGGGCUUAACCCGGGAAGUGCAUUUGAAACUACAAAACUUGAAUAUGGAAGAGGGUCGUGGAAUUCCAGGUGUAGUGGUGAAAUACGUAGAUAUCUGGAGGAACACCGGUGGCGAAGGCGGCGACCUGGUCCAAUAUUGACGCUCAUACACGAAAGUGCGGGGAUCAAACAGG